UAGGGAAUAUUGGGCAAUGGGGGCAACCCUGACCCAGCAACGCCGCGUGAGGGAAGAAGGUUCUCUGGAUUGUAAACCUCUGUCCUAUGGGACGAAGAAGUGACGGUACCAUAGGAGGAAGCUCCGGCUAACUACGUGCCAGCAGCCGCGGUAAUACGUAGGGAGCGAGCGUUGUCCGGAAUUACUGGGCGUAAAGGGUGCGUAGGCGGUUUUUAAGUCAGAUGUGAAAUACCCGUGCUCAACAUGGGGGGUGCAUCUGAUACUGGAGGACUUGAGUGCAGGAGAGGAAAGCGGAAUUCCUAGUGUAGCGGUGAAAUGCGUAGAUAUUAGGAGGAACACCAGUGGCGAAGGCGGCUUUCUGGACUGUAACUGACGCUGAGGCACGAAAGCGUGGGGAGCAAACAGGAUUAGAUACCCUGGUAGU
rnacentral:rRNA from 1 species